UACAGGGGGUGCAAACGUUGCUCGGAAUCAUUGGGCGUAAAGCGCACGUAGGCGGUUCGUUAUGUCGGAUGUGAAAGCCCUUGGCUUAACCGAGGAAGUGCAUCCGAAACUGUCGAGCUAGAGUACUAAAGAGGAUCGCGGAAUUCCCGGUGUAGAGGUGAAAUUCGUAGAUAUCGGGAGGAACACCGGUGGCGAAGGCGGCGAUCUGGGUAGAUACUGACGCUGAGGUGCGAAAGCGUGGGGAGCAAACAGG
rnacentral:rRNA from 1 species